UACGUAGGGCGCAAGCGUUGUCCGGAAUUAUUGGGCGUAAAGAGCUCGUAGGCGGCUUGUCACGUCGGGUGUGAAAGCCCGGGGCUUAACCCCGGGUCUGCAUUCGAUACGGGCUAGCUAGAGUGUGGUAGGGGAGAUCGGAAUUCCUGGUGUAGCGGUGAAAUGCGCAGAUAUCAGGAGGAACACCGGUGGCGAAGGCGGAUCUCUGGGCCAUUACUGACGUGAGGAGCGAAAGCGUGGGGAGCGAACAGG
rnacentral:rRNA from 1 species